GAGAGACCAUUGGCUGCAAAAAUAUAGGGAUAGUGCAGGGGAAAGAAAGCAGGAAGGUUGUUCUUCGGAGGGCUUUUUCCGAGCUUUUGCACCAAUGCCUAAGGCUGCACAAUUCCAUGGGGAUGAUGCAUGAUGCAAAAAUCAUCGUCAUCAAAGACUGCCUCCUGUUUGGGUUUAAGCUUGAUGGCGUCCCGUUUCCGCAACCGGGCUCUCCUUUCGGCUUCAGGGAGAGUAUUGAUGUCUACUGGUAUCUAAUGAAGAAAAGACAAUAAUCAUAACAACAACAACUAAAUGAAAAGAUUACAUUAAAAAAAAUAUGUAGGAUUGCCAGUGCCCAACAAAGGGAUUCUGAUUUUCUUGUAAUUUGGUGAGCACUUCUGGCAGAGAAAGCUGAAGACAACCUCCUCAAGCUGCCACUCUCAUGACUCCAUAGCACUGAGCCAUGGCAGUUAAAUCAGCAUCAAACUGCGUUACUUUUGCAGUGCAGAUGCACCCAGAGCAGUACAGCAAGGGGUUGGACUGGAUGUCCUUUAGAGGUAUCUUCCAACUCUAGAAUUCUAAAAGGAGUCUUAGUCGACCACGAGCCAAUAGUGUGAUGCUGCAGCUGAAAAGGCCAAUGCCAUUCUAGGCUGUGUCAAUAGGAGAAGACUGAGAGAAGACGAAAGGGAACUGAUAUGACACUUUACCACAGCUGUUUUUUUAAUUGCUUUUAAUGAUAAUUAUUUAAUGCAACUGUUUAUUUUAACCUAUUGUAAAAUGUUUAGUAUUGCCUUUUGUUUUAAAUUUUUAUGGUUUUCUGUUUACAUAGGCAUUGAAUGUUUGUCUGUUAUUAUGGUGGAAGCCACCCUGAAUCAGGGCAGGGUACAAAUAUACAGUAGAGUCUCACUUAUCCAACACUUGCUUAUCCAACAUUCUGGAUUAUCCAACGCAUUUUUGUAGUCAAUGUUUUCAAUAUAUCGUGAUAUUUUUGUGCUAAAUUCAUAAAUACAGUAAUUACUACAUAGAAUUACUGCGUAUUGAACUACUUUUUCUGCCAAAUUUGGUGCCUAACAUGUUUUGGUGCUUCAUUUGUAAAAUCAUAACCUAAUUUGAUGUUUAAUAGGCUUUUCCUUAAUGCCUCCUUAUUAUCCAACAUAUUCGCUUAUCCAACAUUCUGCCGGCCCAUUUAUGUUGGAUAAAUGAGACUCUACUGUAUUAUUAUUAUUAUUAUUAUUAUUAUUAUUAUUAUUAUUAUUAUUAUUAUUUUAACUCUAUCUGGAGGGGAACAAAUUCAGCGCUCACUGAAAGGAUCCGCCUGGGCUCUUUGUAACGGAUGUGGAUGGUGGAGCCAUCAGGUCUGACCAGCAGAACUGGAUACAUCCGGCCGUACUUCUGCCUUGAAACACAAGCGAUGGACGUCCGGUUGGAGUUGGGUUGGCACGCGGAUGUGUGAAGACGGCAAGGCCUGGGAAGGAAUGCCCAGAGUGCCUCUCCUUGCAAGAGCCUGGAACCAAUUUAAACAGAAUGUAAACAAUCUUAUCAGUUCAGUGCAAAAGCUGAUGUAUGCUGGCAUUCAAUAAAACAGGGUCAUUAGA